rnacentral:rRNA from 1 species
AAAUUGAAGAGUUUGAUCAUGGCUCAGAUUGAACGCUGGCGGCAGGCCUAACACAUGCAAGUCGAGCGGUAGCACAGAGAGCUUGCUCUCGGGUGACGAGCGGCGGACGGGUGAGUAAUGUCUGGGAAACUGCCUGAUGGAGGGGGAUAACUACUGGAAACGGUAGCUAAUACCGCAUAACGUCGCAAGACCAAAGUGGGGGACCUUCGGGCCUCAUGCCAUCAGAUGUGCCCAGAUGGGAUUAGCUAGUAGGUGGGGUAACGGCUCACCUAGGCGACGAUCCUAGCUGGUCUGAGAGGAUGACCAGCCACACUGGAACUGAGACACGGUCCAGACUCCUACGGGAGGCAGCAGUGGGGAAUAUUGCACAAUGGGCGCAAGCCUGAUGCAGCCAUGCCGCGUGUGUGAAGAAGGCCUUCGGGUUGUAAAGCACUUUCAGCGGGGAGGAAGGCGUUAAGGUUAAUAACCUCAUCGAUUGACGUUACCCGCAGAAGAAGCACCGGCUAACUCCGUGCCAGCAGCCGCGGUAAUACGGAGGGUGCAAGCGUUAAUCGGAAUUACUGGGCGUAAAGCGCACGCAGGCGGUCUGUCAAGUCGGAUGUGAAAUCCCGGCUCAACCGGGAACUGCAUUCGAAACUGGCAGGCUAGAGUCUUGUAGAGGGGUAGAAUUCCGUGUAGCGGUGAAAUGCGUAGAGAUCUGGAGGAAUACCGGUGGCGAAGGCGGCCCCCUGGACAAAGACUGACGCUCAGGUGCGAAAGCGUGGGGAGCAAACAGGAUUAGAUACCCUGGUAGUCCACGCCGUAAACGAUGUCGAUUUGGAGGUUGUGCCCUUGAGGCGUGGCUUCCGGAGCUAACGCGUUAAAUCGACCGCCUGGGAGUACGGCCGCAAGGUUAAAACUCAAAUGAAUUGACGGGGCCCGCACAAGCGGUGGAGCAUGUGGUUUAAUUCGAUGCAACGCGAAGAACCUUACGGUCUUGACAUCCACAGAACUUAGCAGAGAUGCUUUGGUGCCUUCGGGAACUGUGAGACAGGUGCUGCAUGGCUGUCGUCAGCUCGUGUUGUGAAAUGUUGGGUUAAGUCCCGCAACGAGCGCAACCCUUAUCCUUUGUUGCCAGCGGUCCGGCCGGGAACUCAAAGGAGACUGCCAGUGAUAAACUGGAGGAAGGUGGGGAUGACGUCAAGUCAUCAUGGCCCUUACCCGGGCUACACACGUGCUACAAUGGCAUAUACAAAGAGAAGCGACCUCGCGAGAGCAAGCGGACCUCAUAAAGUAUGUCGUAGUCCGGAUUGAGUCUGCAACUCGACUCCAUGAAGUCGGAAUCGCUAGUAAUCGUAGAUCAGAAUGCUACGGUGAAUACGUUCCCGGGCCUUGUACACACCGCCCGUCACACCAUGGGAGUGGGUUGCAAAAGAAGUAGGUAGCUUAACCUUCGGGAGGGCGCUUACCACUUUGUGAUUCAUGACUGGGGUGAAGUCGUAACAAGGUAACCGUAGGGGAACCUGCGGUUGGAUCACCUCCUUACCUUAAAGAA